GGCGGGGCACAAGCCCCGAGGCUCACUCGAAGCUAACACGUUAGCACGCCAGCGGCGGAAAAGGGACUCGACGAGGAAUGAGCAGUUUCAGAUGAUCUCACAGCUGUCACUUUAUUGAUAACAUGGGAUGCUGUUGCGGCCAUAGCCCACAACAAGCUAAAACUCAGUUCUGAAGCUACAACUUCACUUCCUGUCUGCCACCCAUUCUGCUCCCUUUCAAGGGUACUCCGGUUCCUGGCACGACACACAUGAACUCAAACCCGAAUCUUCGUCAGCCUCUGAACCAAUGGCGCUCAAGUGUUCGUCAACCGGUAGUUUCAGACUUCCAACUGGCUGGAACGCUGUGACCCAGUCACGGCCUGGAUUGUUCAAGCAUCAUCAUCAUCAUCAUCAUCAUCGUCGUCGUCGUCAUCAUCAUCACCCCCCCUCGUCUGCGUGGAGAAACACUCGCUGUAUGUGCCGCCACAAACAGGGUGUCAACUUACUGUUCGAUUUACGUUACGACCCCCACCUAUGGGCAUCUGGUCAGCAUGCCUCCCGGAUACCUCCCUGGGGAGGUGUUCAGGACACGUCCAAUCCCGGUAGGGAAGACCCAGGACCUUGGGGAAGACCCAGGACAGAUUGGAGACACUAGAUCUCUCAGCUGGCCCGGGAAGUCACCCAAGCACCGGCCCCCGGGAAGUC